GUGGAUAUAGUUCAGUUGGUUAGAACGCCCGGUUGUGAUCCAGGAGGUCGCCGGUUCGAGUCCGGUUAUCCACCCCA
rnacentral:tRNA from 1 species